rnacentral:tRNA from 1 species
GGAGGUGUAACUCAGUGGUAGAGUGCUUGUCUAAUAAAAGCAAAGUCCUGGAUUAGAGCUCCAGCACUAAAA